UUCUGAUAAUUGCAUCUUUAGGAGAAAUUCCUGAAUGAACACAGAGAGGACUUUAGCAAUGCAUUCGGCCUUGGAGAAGAUAAAGGAGGAAAUUUUCUAAGGUGGGGAGGACCUUUCCUCACGUCUGUCCUAGACAAGGCCACAGGCUGCAGGGCUGCGUCUCUGCCAACUGUGACAAGAACAGCCUCUUCCAGUCUACGGGAUGCAAUACUUUGUCCAAGAUUCAGUUAACAGGAGGGCAUUCUAAAUCUAGCUGAGUGACUGCUGAGCCAGGGCGCGAGGUCCUGGGUCUUGGAACCCAGGUGGCCUGGGCGGUGCGGCUCCUCGCGCGCUGCCUCAGGCUCUCACCUCCCUCUAGCGGCCGCCAAG
rnacentral:lncRNA from 1 species